rnacentral:rRNA from 1 species
GCCCAGACAACUAGGAUGUUGGCUUAGAAGCAGCCAUCAUUUAAAGAGUGCGUAAUAGCUCACUAGUCGAGUGACACUGCGCCGAAAAUGUACCGGGGCUAAACAUAUUACCGAAGCUGUGGAUUGUCCUUUGGACAAUGGUAGGAGAGCGUUCUAAGGGCGUUGAAGCAUGAUCGCAAGGACAUGUGGAGCGCUUAGAAGUGAGAAUGCCGGUGUGAGUAGCGAAAGACGGGUGAGAAUCCCGUCCACCGAUUGACUAAGGUUUCCAGAGGAAGGCUCGUCCGCUCUGGGUUAGUCGGGUCCUAAGCUGAGGCCGACAGGCGUAGGCGAUGGAUAACAGGUUGAUAUUCCUGUACCACCAUUAUUCGUUUUAAGCGAUGGGGGGACGCAGUAGGAUAGGCGAAGCGUGCUGUUGGAGUGCACGUCCAAGCAGUGAGAUUGAGUGUUAGGCAAAUCCGGCACUCUUAAGAUUGAGCUGUGAUGGGGAGAGGAACUUGUUCCUCGAGUCGUUGAUUUCACACUGCCGAGAAAAGCCUCUAGCUAGAAUAACGGUGCCCGUACCGCAAACCGACACAGGUAGUCAAGAUGAGAAUUCUAAGGUGAGCGAGCGAACUCUCGUUAAGGAACUCGGCAAAAUGACCCCGUAACUUCGGGAGAAGGGGUGCUCUUUGAGGUUCACGCUUCGAAGAGCCGCAGUGAAUAGGCCCAAGCGACUGUUUAUCAAAAACACAGGUCUCUGCUAAACCGUAAGGUGACGUAUAGGGGCUGACGCCUGCCCGGUGCUGGAAGGUUAAGAGGAGUGGUUAGCGCAAGCGAAGCUACGAAUCGAAGCCCCAGUAAACGGCGGCCGUAACUAUAACGGUCCUAAGGUAGCGAAAUUCCUUGUCGGGUAAGUUCCGACCCGCACGAAAGGCGUAACGAUUUGGGCACUGUCUCAACGAGAGACUCGGUGAAAUCAUAGUACCGGUGAAGAUGCCGGUUACCCGCGACAGGACGGAAAGACCCCGUGGAGCUUUACUGUAGCCUGAUAUUGAAAUUCGGUACAGUUUGUACAGGAUAGGUAGGAGCCUUAGAAGCGUGAGCGCUAGCUUACGUGGAGGCAUUGGUGGGAUACUACCCUAAUUGUAUUGGAUUUCUAACCCGCAGCACUUAUCGUGCUGGGAGACAGUGUCAGGCGGGCAGUUUGACUGGGGCGGUCGCCUCCUAAAGAGUAACGGAGGCGCUCAAAGGUUCCCUCAGAAUGGUUGGAAAUCAUUCAUAGAGUGUAAAGGCAUAAGGGAGCUUGACUGCGAGACCUACAAGUCGAGCAGGGUCGAAAGACGGACUUAGUGAUCCGGUGGUUCCGCAUGGAAGGGCCAUCGCUCAACGGAUAAAAGCUACCCCGGGGAUAACAGGCUUAUCUCCCCCAAGAGUUCACAUCGACGGGGAGGUUUGGCACCUCGAUGUCGGCUCAUCGCAUCCUGGGGCUGUAGUCGGUCCCAAGGGUUGGGCUGUUCGCCCAUUAAAGCGGUACGCGAGCUGGGUUCAGAACGUCGUGAGACAGUUCGGUCCCUAUCCGUCGUGGGCGUAGGAAAUUUGAGAGGAGCUGUCCUUAGUACGAGAGGACCGGGAUGGACAUACCUCUGGUGUACCAGUUGUCGUGCCAACGGCAUAGCUGGGUAGCUAUGUAUGGACGGGAUAAGUGCUGAAAGCAUCUAAGCAUGAAGCCCCCCU